rnacentral:rRNA from 1 species
GAUGAACGCUGGCGGCGUGCCUAACACAUGCAAGUCAAGGAGAAGGUAACCUUCGGGGAACCGGAUACUGGCGCACGGGUGAGUAACACGUGGAUUAUCUACCCUUUACACAGACAUAACUCAGGGAAACUUGAGCUAAUAUCUGAUGAGGCCUCCGGGUCAAAGCUUCGGCGGUAAAGGAUGAGUCUGCGUCUGAUUAGCUAGUUGGUAAGGUAAUGGCUUACCAAGGCGACGAUCAGUAACUGGUCUGAGAGGACGAUCAGUCACACUGGAACUGAGACACGGUCCAGACUCCUACGGGAGGCAGCAGUGAGGAAUUUUGGACAAUGGGGGAAACCCUGAUCCAGCGACGCCGCGUGUGGGAUGAAUGGGUUAUGCCCUGUAAACCACUGUCAGCAGAGAAGAAAAGGUUCCUUUAGGAACCCGGGACUGUAUCUGCAGAGGAAGGACCGGCUAACUACGUG